rnacentral:tRNA from 1 species
GGCUCUGUGGCAGAAUGGUAAUUGCACUGGUCUCGAAAACCAGCGUCCUUUGGACAUCUAGGUUCAAUUCCUAGCGGAGCCG